UGCCAUCACUUUUGUAUAUAUAUAGAUAUAUAUAUGGGUGUGUGUGUGUGUGUGUAUAUAUAUACACACACACACACACACUUUUACAUACACACACACAUAUAUA
rnacentral:pre_miRNA from 11 species